rnacentral:rRNA from 1 species
GAUGAACGCUGGCGGCGUGCCUAAUACAUGCAAGUCGAGCGAACAGAUGAGGAGCUUGCUCCUCUGACGUUAGCGGCGGACGGGUGAGUAACACGUGGAUAACCUACCUAUAAGACUGGGAUAACUUCGGGAAACCGGAGCUAAUACCGGAUAAUAUAUUGAACCGCAUGGUUCAAUAGUGAAAGACGGUUUUGCUGUCACUUAUAGAUGGAUCCGCGCCGAAUUAGCUAGUUGGUAAGGUAACGGCUUACCAAGGCAACGAUGCGUAGCCGACCUGAGAGGGUGAUCGGCCACACUGGAACUGAGACACGGUCCAGACUCCUACGGGAGGCAGCAGUAGGGAAUCUUACGCAAUGGGCGAAAGCCUGACGGGGCAACGCCGCGUGAGUGAUGAAGGUCUUCGGAUCGUAAAACUCUGUUAUUAGGGAAGAACAAAUGUGUAAGUAACUAUGCACGUCUUGACGGUACCUAAUCAGAAAGCCACGGCUAACUACGUG